UACGGAGGAUGCGAGCGUUAUCCGGAUUUAUUGGGUUUAAAGGGUGCGUAGGCGGGCAUUUAAGCCGGCGGUCAAAUGUCGGGGCUCAACCCCGGCCUGCCGUCGGAACUGGGUGCCCUGAGUGGGCGAGAAGUAUGCGGAAUGCGUGGUGUAGCGGUGAAAUGCAUAGAUAUCACGCAGAACCCCGAUUGCGAAGGCAGCAUACCGGCGCCCUACUGACGCUGAGGCACGAAAGUGCGGGUAUCGAACAGG
rnacentral:rRNA from 1 species